UUUCCUCUCAGGUGCUGCGUACUGCUCUCUGGAGAAGGUUUGCGUUGGUGACUUCAGGGCAGGGCGAGCUGUGCCUGACUCCCCUGGUGGAUGGAGAGGCAGGAGGAUGUAUUCCCAGAGGUUCCAAAUGAUUUCCUGCCAGUCUGUCGUUUGUUCCUGACUCUCUUACGGAAGUCUAGCCUCAGCCCUCCUGCAGCUUUCAUCUUUCCAGCACUGCUCUCCAUUCCAGAAGUGCCGCGUGGAUCCUGGCCUUCUCCUCACCCUCUCUGUCUCACUUCUGGAGCCAUCUCUCAAGACUCGAGGGGCCCUGCCUCCUGCACGGAGCACCCAAGGGUUAUCAAAAGAAGGUCAGGAUGUAGUUUGUGUCAGGACAUUACCUAAGACAUACACCACAGAGAAGCUUCUCAAAAGAGAUACGACUCACCCGCAUCAAGCCAAAGAGGACCCGGGACCCUCAGCUUGUUCAAGUCCAGAUUCCUCCCAAUGCCUUGCUCACCAACUAAGAGGAGAUUCAGGGAUCUCUCCAUCCAAAAGAGUCCUCAGUAAAUUCUGACGUGGAGAAAGUUCUGAAGAUCACCAUUGAGAUAUCAAAAAAACAGGAAUACAAAUAAUAAAAGCACAGGUAUAGUUAUUCUUUUUUU